rnacentral:rRNA from 1 species
GCAAGUCGAGCGAGAAGGUUCCUUCGGGAACUGGAGAGCGGCGGACGGGUUAGUAACGCGUGGGAACGUGCCUUAAGGUCUGGGAUAACCAUUGGAAACGAUGGCUAAUACCGGAUGGUCCCUUCGGGGUAAAGCUUUAGCGCCUUAAGAUCGGCCCGCGUUAGAUUAGCUAGUUGGUGAGGUAACGGCUCACCAAGGCGACGAUCUAUAGCUGGUUUGAGAGGAUGAUC